CGAGAUGUAUUAAUAAUCACGCUAAAGAGAACGUGAAACUCCUGCAAAUUCUCACGAUCACGUAAGAACAGCCGUCUCUAUGAGAAAAUUAUUUCAAGCAUACCCUAGGACAAUAAAUCCUAGCCUUAUAUAGGAAAAGGUAAACAACUAACGAGGCCCUAUGCUAAUGGGCCUUAGCCAUAAUCUAAUUAAAAGACAUAAAAUAAAGAAUACUAAUUGGUGAAACGAUUAGGCCUUCUAAUCUCUCUGCGUUGACGUCUCUCUGCCAAACUUGGCUCCACUUCAUCACCCUUCUCAACUUCUUCUUCGAUAUAGUUCUCAGCUUCCUCUUCGACAUCGUUCAAGGUAGCUGCAGCAGAUUUUGUGCUCGUAUCAACUCCCCCAUUCUCAGAACUCACCUUGUCCGCAAGGUGAAAAUCAGGAAACGAAUUGCGAAAAGAGGCAAGAGACUCCCAUGUGGCAGCAUCAGGAGGAAGGCCCUGCCAUUGAACAAGAACUUGAGCUUCAGGAACACCAUUGCUGAGGAUUGUGCGAGAGGAAACAACAACCACCGGAACCAAAGUGGGCAGACCAGCAGAAUCAAUAGGGACAGGAUUAAUCGGAGUAGUGGCAGUACCGACGAACGGCUUGAGCAAGGAAACAUGAAAAACCGGAUGAAUACGGCUACCAGAUGGAAGUGCAAGGCGAUAAGCUACAGCACCAAUCUUCUCGAUAAUAGGAUAGGGCCCAAAGUAACGCUUGGCCAACUUUGCAGAGUGACGACGGGUAACAGAAACUUGACGAUAUGGUUGGAGUUUGACCCACACAAGAGCACCAACAUCAAAAACAACGUCACGGCGGUGUUAUUCGCCUGCUGCUGCAUGCGGUGCUGCGCAGAAGAAGAGAAGACUUCAAAUCAAGUAAGAGUUGAUCGCGUUCCAAAAGUAACACAUCGAGGGCAUCGACUGCUGUGGAGCUAGGGAUGUAGCGAGGGAUCGUCGGGGGAAGACGACCAUAUACAGCCUGAAAUGGGGUCAUGUUUAUACUCGAAUGAUAACUAGUAUUAUAGUGAAACUCAGCCCAUCCUAAAAAUUCCGGCCAACGGUCUUGCCGGUCAGAAGUCAUAGCCCGUAAAUAUUGUUCCAAACACCGGUUAGUGACCUCCGUUUGACCAUCCGUCUGGGGAUGGUAAGCAGAACUGUGCUUGAGAGAAGUGCCGCUGAGUUUGAAUAAUUCGGACCCAAAAACGCUUAGGAAAAUGGGGUCACGAUCUGAAAUAAUAGAUGACGGAAAACCAUGUAGCUUAACAACCAUAUCAGUGAAUAAAACGAGCCAAUUUAGAGGCGGUAAAAGCCAGUAGGUAGUGGGCCGAAGUGAGCAGCCUUGGUAAGGCGGUCGACAACCACGAGAACAACAGAAAAACCAUGGGAACUGGGAAGAUGGGUAAUAAAAUCCAUCGUAAGUUCGUUCCAAACCAGGGCAGGAACGGGCAAAGGCUGUAAGAGGCCGGCGGGUGCGACAGUGAGAGUUUUUAUCUGCUGACAUGUAGCACAAGCACGAAUAAAAUCUUCGACGUCACGACGCAUGUGGGGCCAGUAAAACAAGGAAGAGAGACCGACUAGUGUCUUCUUAACACCUCCAUGACCAUGGAUAGGAGAGCAAUGGAACUCCUGUAACAGAUUUUGUUUCAAAUGAGAAGACCGGGCAAGAAAGUAUUUCUGCUUAUACAUGAGAAGACCACCAACCACAGUAUAGUCAGGAGAUAGUUCACCCACUUGGAAACGAUGAUGCAAUGAGAUAUAAUCAGUGUGGGUCUGAUUUUCCUUACGUAAAUCAUCGAGAAAGGCAGAGACUGGCGAGCUUUGAAUCAUCAAGCAAACUGGUGUAAGCGUUUCAGACACCAAUGCAGCAGAGUCAGGGGACGCGCCGUCGGGGGCACGCGAGAGAGCAUCAGCCACGAUAUUAUGGCGUCCAGGUUUAUACUCUAUAGAAAAAUCGUACCCUAACAAUUUGCGGAUAUACCGGUGCUGAUCAGGAGUGUGUAAGUGUUGUCGUAAAAGUUCUUUCAAAUUGUGGUGGUCAGUACGAAUAAUAAAAUGUUGACCCAAAAUAUAUUGGCGCCAUUUACCAAUAGCCUCGCUUAUGGCAUGUAAUUCUUUGAUAUAGGUAGAGGCGUCCUUGAGACGAGCUCCUAAUUUACGACUGUGAUAAGCGAUGGGCAAAUUAUCUUGUAAAAGUACCGCGCCCAAACCCACAUCAGAGGCAUCAGUUUCGAUGACGAACUGUUUAGAAAAAUAAGGUAAGCGCAAGAUAGGUGUCGAGGCCAUCGCCUGUUUGAGAGCAUGAAAUGCAGUUGAGGCAUCAUCAGACCACACAAAACCGUCUUUACAGAGGAGAUCGGUGAGAGGAGAAGUGAUGGCAGCAUAGUUCUGAAUAAAUUUGCGAUAGUAGCCGGUUAAACCGAGGAAGCCCCGAAGUUGCUUGGCAGAAGAUGGGACGGGCCAUGCUAGCAUUGCUUCUAUUUUGGCAGGAUCCGCGCGCACUGUGCCGGAGCUAACAAUAUGACCCAAGUAAUCCACCGAAGACGUGCCAAAAGUACAUUUGGAGAAUUUCACAAAAAAACAAUGGGACUUGAGACAUUGGAGCACUGUGCGUAAGUGAUUAGUAUGUGCUUCUUCAGAUGGACUGUCGUCAAAAAAAACAACAACGAAGCGGCGUAGGAAAUCCUUGAGAAUAAAGUUCAUGGUCGCUUGAAAUGUGGAUGGGGCAUUAGUAAGCCCGAAAGGCAUGACAAGAAACUCAAAAUGGCCAUCAUGAGUGCGAAACGCCGUCUUAAAGAUAUCCUUAUCGUGAACACGAAUUUGGUGGAAACCGGCACGUAGAUCCAAUUUAGAGAAUACUGUAGACUGACCAAGUUCAUCAAGGAGUUCAUCAACUGUAGGAAUAGGGAAUUUAUCCUUAACAGUGACAGCGUUGAGAGCACGAUAAUCAACACAGAAACGGUAGGAGCCGUCUUUCUUCUUGAAUAAAAGCACGGGAGAGGAAAACGGGCUUUGACUCGGGCGUAUAAUCCCCUGAUCCNNNNNNNNNNNNNNNNNNNNNNNNNNNNNNNNNNNNNNNNNNNNNNNNNNNNNNNNNNNNNNNNNNNNNNNNNNNNNNNNNNNNNNNNNNNNNNNNNNNNNNNNNNNNNNNNNNNNNNNNNNNNNNNNNNNNNNNNNNNNNNNNNNNNNNNNNNNNNNNNNNNNNNNNNNNNNNNNNNNNNNNNNNNNNNNNNNACUCAAACUCCAUACGACCACACCGAUAAUCAUGAGUACUUGGCCUAAUCUGGAGCCAUUGAAUACCAAGAAUAAUAUCAGGCCCCUUGAUUGGCAACACAAAUAAUUCGCAGGUGAAAGAAGUCCCUUGAAGAUCAAUAGAAACAGCCAUGCAUUUAUGUUGGCAAAUAAUAAAAUCUCCAUUGCCAAUAUACACCCGAAAAUUUGGGAUGGCAGUAAGCGAUAACUUGAGGCGCUCUGCAAGGUUAGGGGUGAUAAAAUUAUGAGUGCUACCAUUAUCAAUCAUUACCUGAAACCUUUGUGUCUGUAUGCUGCCCCAUAAGCGAAGAGAACGGGGCUGAGCGGCGCCUGAGAGAGAGUGAAGGCUGGAUACAUCUCCCAAAAUGACGUCAUCAUCUAGAGGAUGGUCAGGCGAGUCUGAGAUAUCAUGAGCCUCAGGAGAGAAAGUAGCAUCAUCACCGGCGAGGAGCAAAACCGUGCUCGGAGUCUUACAGCGGUGGGAUGGGUUCCAUCGCUGAUCACAAUGGAAGCACAACCCUCGUUCGCGCUUCUCACGAGUCUCUGCAGGAGUGAGGCGCCGAACAGGAAUGGUGGGCGAGUCGCGCCGUACAGGAGAAGGGGACGACGAAACGGCAGAGGGCCGAGGCGGAAUUGGCGGGACUGUAGUGGUGGAAUUGGUCGUCGCGACUGUUGGUAAAGUAGGGCGAGGCAGUGGGCGAGCAAAAGUACGAGCAUCAGUUUGGGAGUCCAAAUAUUUGCUCUCAAACACUCGAGACAAAGCAAAAGUCUCAUCUAAUGUUGUGGGUCGAUUCAAUUGGAGAUCACGACGAAUCGACGGCUUGAGUCCCGAAAUAUAAAAUGAAAUAAGUAGGGGUUCCGAGAUACCCUUAGUGCGACCCAUCAAGGACUCAAAGGUUGAUUGGUAAUCUGCAACAGAGCCUUGUUGCGAGAGCUUAGCCAACGUACCCUCGGGAUCGUCAAACUGUGAAUCACCAAAACGAGAUUUGACCCGGUUCAAGAAAUCUGACCAAGAAGAGAGCAUGUGUUGAGAUUUCAGCCAUUGGAACCAAGUAGAAGCCUUGCCAUCAAGAUGAAAAGAGACAAUUUGAAGGCGUUGAGUGUCGGGAGUGUUAUGGUAGCCAAAAUAUUCCUCGAUCUUAAAGAUCCAAGAGUAUGGAUCAGUGCCAUCAAAGCGGGGAACGUCAAGGCGAACAAAAGGAGGGCGGCCGUGUGGAAAAGUAUUGGAGGCAUCAUCGAUGGACGAUGACGAGUGGGUGUUCUUGAGUAUCACCAUGAAUUCAUCCAAUUGCUUCUGAAAAUCCGCCUGAGAUUGGCGAAGUUGAGUAUCCACUUGAGCGCUGAGAGUGCGGAUUUGUGCCUGCAAAUCCUUAGCUAUGGACUCCAUCGAAAAAGUCAAUGAAAGCACCAAUUAAUACGAGAUGUAUUAAUAAUCACGCUAAAGAGAACGUGAAACUCCUGCAAAUUCUCACGAUCACGUAAGAACAGCCGUCUCUAUGAGAAAAUUAUUUCAAGCAUACCCUAGGACAAUAAAUCCUAGCCUUAUAUAGGAAAAGGUAAACAACUAACGAGGCCCUAUGCUAAUGGGCCUUAGCCAUAAUCUAAUUAAAAGACAUAAAAUAAAGAAUACUAAUUGGUGAAACGAUUAGGCCUUCUAAUCUCUCUGCGUUGACGUCUCUCUGCCAAACUUGGCUCCACUUCAUCACCCUUCUCAACUUCUUCUUCGAUAUAGUUCUCAGCUUCCUCUUCGACAUCAUUCAAGGUAGCUGCAGCAGAUUUUGUGCUCGUAUCAGUAUGGGUCAAAAUUUUAGUGAAUGUAUAACCCGGUUGUACGAUACACCCGGAUGUACCCAAGAUCACCUCUUCUUAAAUAUGUUUUACAAUUUCAGAGGAGUAGUAAAGUAACCUUUUCCCAUUGUAUUUAUGGCAAAUCUAAUCAGACGCGAAAAUUUCGUCCUUCCUUCUCUGAUUUGUUCAGCAGUAUUCAAUGAAAUCAUACUGAACAUAAAUAAUUCAUACAUUUGUGAAUUUGUUCAUUGUAUUAAUUUUUUGUAUUUUUAAAAUGAAAACUGUGUAAAUAUGAGCGUGAUUAUUAGUUUCAUAGUUUGGAUUUCUGUUACCAGUGGACACAAUUUAUGAUUAAAUAAUGUGUUAUUUAAUUGCUAAUUCGUGAGUGACUAUGUAUAAUUCAUUAAAUUUGUUAAAUUGUUCAUACAUUUUGUAUGUUUGUUCAUAUAUUUUUCGUUUAAUGCAAAGUGUUAAAUAUUUUAUUUUUAAUACGUUAAUUUGUUAAAUAAAAAAUACUAGCUACUACAUUUUAUUCAUAAAAAAUCUCUCUCUCUCUCUCUCUCUCUCUCUCUCUAUAUAUAUAUAUAUAUAUAUAUAUAUAUAUAUAUUAAAGCAAAAUAAACUCUACCCUACGUGGCGGUGUAUAAUCACUCCAUUCCAAUUUUCCUCCAUUCCCAUUCAUUCUUAUUUUCUCCUAAAAUUUUAAUCAAUUUUCCAUAUCUAAUUUUUUUCAUUAUACACAAAUAAAAUCAUGCUAAAAUUCCUUUUGAUUUUAAAUUCUAAAUAAAUACGAAAAUUAUUAAGUGUUAUCCUCUUUGUAAUUUGGAUUAUCUUUGGACCUCGUUGUUCUUCAUACAUCCAUUUUAUAAUUAUUUUAUGGUAAUAUCAUUACUGGAGUAAAGUAUUAAUGCAAUUCAAAAAUCAGUAUAUAUAAUAUAAGUUACGAAAUUUAAUUAUUGUGCUUAAUUGUUGAUUUUGAAUGAGAAAAUCUUGAAGGGGGCGUCGUAUAAUCACUUCAUUCCAAUUUUCUUCAAUUCUUAUUCAUUAUUAUGCGUAUUCUUAUUUUUUCUAAAUUGUCGAAGACUAAUUGCUUGAUGAAACACCCGAACGAAUAGUCAUGUAAUUGACAAAAUUACAUCAUUUAUCUCCUGAUUCAUGUCCAAAAGUCGAAUACAAAUCGGAAUCAACAAAUAUCAACAGAUGGAUAUCCAAGAAAUCUAACAUAACAAUCCUUUAUAAAGAACCCAAAAACACAAAAAAAUCGAAAUAAGCAAAUAGGUUAGCACUAUUUAUCGAACGAGAAGAAGCACUAUGCUUGAAAUUUAAUGCCAAGAUUUUCCAGCUGAUUUUCUUGACAAAAUUAGAACAGCAAAUACUGAGGUUGUAAACUGAAUCGUUCGAAAAUAUUCCCAAAUUCCUUCUCUUAUUCUACUACUCUCCAUAAUUCCAAAUCAAACUUUGGGCGCUGUUUGAAUGGAUAAGAUUGUGAUGAAGCAUCAUCAAUUUGCAUCAAAUAUGGCUUUAAUAAUUCACCGCAAUUGUUUCCUUUUUGAGAAGUCAGCCGCAAUUGUUGACAACAAAGAUACAUAUACGAUCGAAUCCGGAAUCGCAAGCCUCUAGAUUCUUAAAAAUUUGAACAACACAAUUGCAAAUACUAUAUUUUAUAGAUCCUUCGGUCUUCUUCUGCGAUUCCAAUCGUCAGUCGCUACACAUGGCGGCGGCGGAGAUUAUUAAUUAUUAAGUUUUGGUAUUGAUAGUUUAGCUAUAAUUUCUUCAAAUGAUAUUUAUUUGAAAUUGUAUUUAGUUUAACAUGUACGAUCAUUUCUUUUAUUUAUGUGAAGAAAAAAUAAUUUUCCACUUUAAUUUAUUCAUCCUAAUAUGCACAUAUACAUAUUGAUUAACUAUCUUACUUGAUAUGUUAAAAGUUUAGAGUUCAGAAUUCCAAUAGAUACAUGAUAUGAUGAUUAUUUUAUUGUUAGGUACAUAUAAAAUAGAUUGUUUAUUAUACUCCGUUCAUCUGUUAUUAUUUUGACGAUGAAGCGCAGUCUGUUGGUAAGACGCUUUUCCUCUAAUCAAUAGACGGGGGUUCGAAUCACCCUAGAAGCUAGAGUGUGAGUGAGUUUUUUCCUUUAUUUGAUCGUAACAAAUUUUUUUUAAAAAAAACAUAAUAUGUUCAUCUGAAAAUCAGUAUUUUUAAUGAAAUUCUACAUAAUAAAUUAAUAAUAAUGAACGGGGUUUUUUGCAUAAGUAUAAAUCUAUGCAGCCACAUUGUGGCCACCCACACACUAGUAUAAUAAGAAAAAUCUUAAUUUAUUUAAUUUAUUUUUUAAAAUAAAAAUAGGAUUUAGUUAUUUUACUAUAUUCUCUACAUUGUACUUUUUUUGCAUUUUUAUUUAAAAUUUAUUUUUUAAUAAAAAUAAAAAAGUUACUAAAAAAUUACAAAGUAGAGAAUAUGAUAAAAUAAUUAAAUCUUAUUUUAUUUUAAAAAAUAAAUUAAAUUAUUUUUUAUUUAGAUAAAUUGUGGGUGACCACAAUGUGAUUGAAUGAAGGAGAGAAAAUUUCUUUUUUUUAAAAAAAUUGUUACAAUCAAAUAAAGGAAAAAACUCACUCACACUCUAGGAGCUCCUAGAGUGACUCGAACCCCUAACCUAUUGGUUGGAGGGGAAGUGUCUUACCAACAGACUGCGCUUCAUCGUCAAAGGAGAGAAAAUUUCUUAGUCAGAUAGUAGCUAGAGAAUUAAUUUUACUAACUAAGUUGUAAUUUUGAUAUGCCCGCAUUGGUUUCAUCAUAUAUAAAAAAAGGGAUCAAAAAUUACGUAAGUUUAUAUCAAAAGAAGUCGGUGUUGUGACACGUGAUAGUUGUAUAUAAUAAGUUGUGCGGGCACGUGACCCCAAGGGAUAUUCUUCUCCAGCAUCGAAAUUUAAACAUAAAAUCCCGACUUUGAAGUUCAUUUCUAGCAAAGUCUUUAGCCCGGAUCCUACUAUAUUUUGUUUCAUGUCAAAUAUUUUUCUAACUAUGGAGGGAGCUAGCAUACUUAACAGCCGUAGGAGAAGUUCCGACAUGUAUUUAUUUUUAACGUUGUUGCUGAUUAUGCAUCAGCUGAUUUUCUCACAAUGUGCCAUUAAUGAUAUUUCUUUCUCGGAUCAUAGGCUUAGGAAUCCAAGUGUGCCCUCGACCUCGCCACCUUCCGCCGGCAGUCGUGGGCCGCGGCCGCCGCCACCGCCUUCUGAAAUAAAAAAUCGUUCAGUAUUUCCACAGUCGGAUCCACCACCUAAGCCAGCUGCACCAUCUUGUAAACCCACUUGUAAAUAGUCUCUCUAGCUAUGUCAAACGUUACUACGAAUUUCUUAUUCGUUGUUUUUCUUGAUAAUUCUGUAACAUGAUUCGUUAUAGUUUUAUGGUAUUAUAUGAAAAGUUUUAAUUAUAUGCCAAUUUUCGCUUAUGGAAGUUGACAAUUUACAUUCAAUGUCAGACAAUCUUGAAAAAGAUAAAUGGAUUUGCGACGUCAGAAAUAAUUAUAUUCAAUGCCAACGAAUUUACAUUCAAUGUCAGACAAUCUUGAAAAAGAGAAUUGGAUUUGAGACGUCAGAAAUAAUUAUAUUCAAUACAUUCAAUGUCAGACAAUGUCAGAAAAUGCCAUUAUCAGCCCUAUCGCAAAUUCUAAAACCAUCACGUAGCUCAGCAAAAUCCCGACGAUCAUCGGUUUCUUGCUGCCAUGGCUGUAGUGAGUGUCCAGGCGGCGGCGGCGGCGGCGGUUUCUUGCUGUCGUUCGCCGGAGUUUAGAAAAGGGGAGGUCCGGCGGCGGCUUCGCUGUGUCGCCCGGACCCAGGAAGGAGGCGCCGGCGCGCGGGCGUCGUGGCGGUGGUCGUUCUCGCCGGAAUCUGGGGGAGGGAGUCUGGCGAGAGAGAAACUCCGGGGGUGGUGUGUGCCGUCGACGGCGCUGCUUGCCGGUCUGUCUCAUGGAGGAAGACGUCGCGGGGUGCGUGCGUGUGAGCGUGCUCUGUUUCAGUGAGAGAAGAGAGUCGAGAGUAGUAAGCGGCUCAUCGCCGUUGCUCCGGUGAGCUUCCGCGGCGGUGGAUUUUCGAGAGGGGGUGGGCGGAUUCGAGAGAGAGAGAAAGUGAUCAGCACUAUAAUGUGUGUGCGUCAGUGCGUGUUUGAUUUGAGAAGAAAAAAACUCAGCUGGGGUUGAGAGGUGGGGUCCGCGCUGGGGAAUGAGAUUCAGUGUACCACACUUUAUGUCCCACUUUCUGCCCUACUUUCAAUUUUAUUUAUUUUCUUAUAUAUUUUUUCUUCAAUUCUAACUUUGUGUGCUUUAGUUUAAUUUUGUGAUUAUUAAUUAGGGUUUAUUCCAUAAACCUAGGGUAUAUAAUUAUUUUUUAUCAUUUAACUUCACUUUUAUUAGUUAAUAAUAGGUUGAUAAAUUCAAAGUCAUGGUAUAUACUUUUUUAAAAAAAUUAAUUAUAAUUCAUAGUAUUAUAAUACUCCCUCCAUCCCUAAAAUAACUUCCUCUUUUUUCCAUUUUGGGACGUCCCCCAAAUAACUUCUUCUUUCUUUCUUUCAUUUUUGGAAACCUACCCCACCACUAAUAAUACUUUAUUUAUUUUACUUUUCACUUUUCACCACUCCAAUACUAUUAUAACACUUUUCACAACUUCAAUAAUAAUUAUAUCAUUUUUCUCCACUAUCAAUACACUUUACAACUUUUUAUUAAAACUCGUGCCGUCCCUAAAGAGGAAGCCAUUUCAGGGACGGAGGGAGUAUAUAUAAUAAAAAUAUCACCUUAAUAGUCACUGGGAAAAAGUUGGGCUUUGUUUGGGGUCUUUUUUUAUAGAAGUUGUGCGUAUCUAAAAAUAAUAAUAAUAUUAUGUUUAUUUAUAAAUUAGUUAAAUAAAAAAAUGAUUCAUUUAAAAUUUUCUGUUCAAAACAGAAAAAGAAUACCUUUUUUUAAAAAAAAAUUUUAUUGUUUAUUUUUUGAAAUAGUAAGACUAGUUAAAUCUUUUUUAUUUUGAACUAAAUUUUUCAAUAAAUUGAGUUUUUUUUUUUUUCUAUUUGGUAAAGUCAAUAUCCAUAUUUACUACGCAUUUAGUUUCUUCAUUCUUAAAAAAGAUAUUUCUACGAAAAAAUCGAUCAUGUCCAAAACAAUAAGUUAGAACUAAGAAAUCUGCCAUUUAAAAUAUUGCAAAAUUUCAGAUUUCACUAUAACUGAAGAGUAAGUAGGCUCAUCUUCAUUCUUUCUUAAACCAACUUUUUUGGAUCUAUUAUACCAAUAUUAAUUUUUUAUUUUUAAUUAUAAAAGAAAAUUGCAGCAUGCAUCAUGCAGCCGUUAGGCCAUUGGCUGGAGCAAUUUUGGCACAAUAGAAUAAUAAAAUACUUUAAUUUUAAGUUUAUAUUAUAUCGGUAUAAGUUAUUCUGAUUCUCAAACAUUAUCAACCAAAUUAAUCGUCAAAACAUUGUUGGUGGGGGGCUGCCAACCGGUGAACAACGGCCUCGGCUGAGCCCCCUCCAAUACUGUGCCUCAUAGGCUCGCUCCAAGUUCUCAGCUCCGCAUCUGAGUCAGGAAGACAAAGAAAAGGACGCGUGUAUAGCACCGCUCAAUAAGACUUAAUUAAGCAGAAAAUAAAAAAAAUAUAUGGAGUAUAAAAUAAAAAAUUGAAAUCGAUAGAUUUUUGUAGAACUUGGCACAUUUUUUUAAAGAGCCUCUAUGGACUCUCCACUAUGAGGAAGAGGAUUUCUUUAGGUGGGGACCACUUUUAAUAGCCCCUAUGAACUCUCCACUACGAAUGCCCUUAUUUAUGACUCAAGUUUGAACUUUUAAAAGUAUAUUUGAAGUGAGAUUUCAUUUGGAAUAUUACCAUGUGAUAUACUCGAUCCAUCAGUCCAUUCGGCUCUACUUCGACUCGAAUAGUUCAAUCUUGGCUCGCAGCGCUGACUAUUCAGUUCAAAGACAAAGAUUAAUGUAAUAGGGUCUUAGGCCCAACCACUAGGUUAAUGGGCCCAAGAGUCUUAGACUCUUAGGUUUACUUUGAUGCUUAUAAAUAAAAGUUUAAUUAUUAGCUUAAGGACUUUUAGAUUCAUUCUUCUACACCAUGUAAAAUGUAAACACACAAAGUAUAGUGAUAUAGUGAAACCCCCUUCCCCCCGCCCCAAAACCCCACCCGUGGAUGUAGAUCUUCAUAAUCGAACCACGUAAAUCGUCGAGUCAUUUAUCGUUUUAUUUAGUGUGUUAUUUUUUGUAUGUAGUUGUGUGUGUGUUGGCCUAGCGAUAGGAGGUUAAUGCUGAAAACCUGAGAUCCUGGGUUCGAGUCCUCCGUCGCGCGGUCUUUUAAUUUCUUUAUUUAUUUAUGUAAUUUGCCAAAAAAAAAUCUAUUUAGUCAUAUAUAGUGGUUGUCCACAAAUUAGUUAAAUAUGAAAAAAUUUGAUUUAUUUAAUGUAUUUUUUAAAAUUAAAAAAACUAAUUAUUUUACUAUAUUAUUUAUAUUGUAAUAAUUUUGUAUAUUUUAUUUAAAAAUAAAACAAUUACUAAAAAAAAAUAGUUACUAAAGUAGACAUACAUAAAAUAACUAAAUUUGUUUUUUUUUACUAAAAGAAUAUAAAUAAAUCAAAUAUCAUUAUUGUUUANAUAUUAAUCUACAACUCCUUAAAUUCCGUGCCAAAAAAUAAAUGUAGCGUGAUGCGAGUAUUAAAUAAAUCAAAUAUCAUUAUUGUUUGUAAAAUAAAAACAAAUAAAUAUCCAGAUUGAGAAUCUUGCCGUAAAAAACUUUCACUUUUUACUUUACGGAAAAGAACUGGAAAAUUGUGACUUUCAGACCAGCUUUUUACAUUAAUUACCAAUCACGCCUACUCUUGUUUUCUGGCUCCUCUGCAUGCGUCUCUCUUUGUCUUUUUAUGCUCACUAUUACACCUAAAUCACCUUUUCCUUUAAUUACCUCAACAUUUCAUUUUUAUUUUUAGACCAAUUAUUAUACUAUUAAAAUUUAAAUUAUUUAUCUUUAUCCAAAAACAUCUUGAAAUUUUAAUAAUGUCAAUAGUUUGAAUAGUUUAUUCAAA
rnacentral:lncRNA from 1 species